rnacentral:rRNA from 1 species
GACGAACGCUGGCGGCGUGCUUAACACAUGCAAGUCGAACGGAAAGGCCUGCUUUCCCUUGUGGAUUGCGGGUACUCGAGUGGCGAACGGGUGAGUAACACGUGAGUGAUCUGCCCCCAACUUGGGUAUAAGCCUGGGAAACUGGGUCUAAUUCCCGAUAGGACUGCAGGGUGGUGCCUGUGGUGGAAAACGAUUUUCUAGUGGUUGGGGAUGAGCUCGCGGCCUAUCAGCUUGUUGGUGGGGUAAUGGCCUACCAAGGCGGCGACGGGUAGCCGGCCUGAGAGGGUGGACGGGCACAUUGGGACUGAGAGACGGCCCAGACUCCUACGGGAGGCAGCAGUGGGGAAUAUUGCACAAUGGGCGGAAGCCUGAUGCAGCGACGCCGCGUGGGGGAUGACGGCCUUCGGGUUGUAAACUCCUUUCGACCGCGAGGAAGCCACCUGGUUGGAAGGGUGGUGACGGUAGUGGUAGAAGAAGCACCGGCUAACUACGUG